GCUACCUGCAGUCGAACGGUAACAGGAGAGAGCUUGCCCUCUUGCUGACGAGANNNGGACGGGUGAGUAAUGCAUAGGAAUCUGCCCAGUAUGGGGGACAACUCGGGGAAACUCGAGCUAAUACCGCAUACGCCCUACGGGGGAAAGCGGGGGAUCUUCGGACCUCGCGCUAUUGGAUGAGCCUAUGUCAGAUUAGCUUGUUGGUAGGGUAAAGGCCUACCAAGGCUACGAUCUGUAGCUGGUCUGAGAGGACGAUCAGCCACACUGGGACUGAGACACGGCCCAGACUCCUACGGGAGGCAGCAGUGGGGAAUAUUGGACAAUGGGGGCAACCCUGAUCCAGCAAUGCCGCGUGUGUGAAGAAGGCCUGCGGGUUGUAAAGCACCUUCAGUUGGGAAGAAAAGCUUCGUGUUAAUAGCGCGGAGUCUUGACGUUACCAUCAGAAGAAGCACCGGCUAACUCUGUGCCAGCAGCCGCGGUAAUACAGAGGGUGCGAGCGUUAAUCGGAAUUACUGGGCGUAAAGCGCGCGUAGGCGGUUUGGUCAGUCGGAUGUGAAAGCCCCGGGCUCAACCUGGGAAUGGCAUUCGAUACUGCCAGGCUAGAGUAUGGGAGAGGGAAGUGGAAUUUCCGGUGUAGCGGUGAAAUGCGUAGAUAUCGGAAGGAACACCAGUGGCGAAAGGCGGCUUCCUGGACCAACACUGACGCUGAGGUGCGAAAGCG
rnacentral:rRNA from 1 species